ensembl:lncRNA
UGAAAAGAGAGUCUGCUUGAUGAGGUUGACCUAAGCCCCACAUUUUUCUCUGUUAGUUCUCUUUCUGCUCUGUCUUUGUAAAAUCUCUUUGAGGGUGUUGAAGCACCUAGUGACAGAUGUGGAGAUUUAACGAGUUUUAGGCCCCUUGAUUUUCUUGGUGGGCUAUAGCGACUCAUCUGCUGUCACUCAUCUAAUCCAACCUGUCUUCAGAUCAUGUUGAAAUUCCUUUUUGUCACAUCCCACAGAACAUGACAAACAGGCAGAUUAGCCUGAUUGUUGAGGCCCAUCAGCUCUAUGCUCUUAGUUAAAUGAUACCAAGCACGGAUCAUGAAGCAAAGCUUUGCAGGGUUAGCUGGGUGUGUAAUUACAAUGACAUCAUUUAAUAAACUUGCCAUCACUGUCUUAAUCCUCAGUCAAGUAAAAGCAUGAGAAUCCUUGUUAGCCAUGAUUAGGUGACACUGAUGGUUAACAACAUUUUCUCAUCUCACCAGAUUCAUUUUUAUUAAAACUCUUAACUUGGUUAAAGUGUUUUUUUUUUUUUUUCCCAACAGGAUCACCUGAUUGAUGGUGACUUUGUGGGUUUUCAUGAUGAAGGUGUGUUAUAACAAGAGAGGGUGAAAAAGAUACCUUGUUUGUCCUACAAAGAAUGCAUCUUUGAAUCAAUGAAAAUACCUCCUACGCCAUCCCCAUGAAGAGAUCUGGAACUGCUAUAGAUAUAUGGAGAAAAGGGAUAAUUCUGUUUUCCAGAAAAUGGGGCUGUGACUACACAUUUGGGACCAGUGUCUGGGAGGAGAAAUGAAGACUCUUCUGGGAGGAGGCUUGGAGAGAAGGUUGGCUGCAUCACCAAGCUGUAAGUCAAGAUGUCUUGUCCAGCCUUGACUGGCACUGAGGUUUUCAGAACUCAGAGAGGAGACAACAGCUUCACAUCCUCAGCUUCUGUUGGAGUAGAAGCCCGUCUCCUCCUUCCUUUGCCU